GCGCCUGUAGCUCAGCUUGGAUGCCUAUUAGGCCAAAGAGAGCGACAGCCUCCUAAGCUGUAGGUCCGGAGUUCGAAUCUUCGCAGGCGCG
rnacentral:tRNA from 1 species